rnacentral:lncRNA from 1 species
CUACUCUACCCAGCCGGCACCGCUCGGUUAGCUGACGCUGAGGUAGCCGGGGAGGUGCGUCCCGUCGGUCCCCCGCCCCAGAGCGGCCGCAGUCCCGGCUCCCGGAGUGGUGGUCCCUGCCCCGUCCAGAGAAUAACAUGGGGAGGCCGAGGAGCCUGCGCUGCGGCGGACGACCAGCCCCGCCGGCGGUCGCUGAGGCUGGGGUUCCAAUGCCAGUCUUCCAGUGCCAGUGCUGCUUCCCAGCCCACACAUCCCUCUCACCACUGCUGCAUCCUAAGGAAGUCAGCAACCUUCAGGGGGUACUUGUUCCUGGAGCCAGAGUAGAGGAGGGUGGCGCUUCCAAGGCUGUGGGCAUCCAAAGAAAGAGUGCUGUCCAUCCUCCUCCUGCCUACUGAUCUCCCAUCAGCAGAACCCCACUGGAGACCUACUGGCAGCUUUUUUUAGGGCCGCUCUCGAAUCAGAGCUACAGCUGCCAGCUUAUAUCACAGCUACAGCAACAUAGGAUCCAAGCUAUGUCUGCGACCUACAAUGCGGCUCACGGCAACGCGGGAUCUCUAACCCACUGAGCAAAGCCAGGGAUCAAAACUACAUCCUCAUGGGUACUAGUCAGAUUCAUUUCCACUACACCACAACAGGAACUCCCUACAUUUGUUUUGUGGUAACAAUUACCUGGUAAAUUUCCAUCUUCCAAUAGAGUUGUGCUACUCUCUUUCACAGUUUUCUUACUGUAUUUUUGAGUAGGUAUUGUGCAUAUAACUUUCAUGGUCCUCAAAAUUAAAUCCUCUGUUAUUAUUAGGAGGUGAAGAGAAGGACCCGGAGAGCUUUAUAGAAUUAGUUCUCAUGGGCUCUUUCCUCCGUUGCUAUAGCAAAAAAAAAAAAAAAAAAAAAAAAAAAAAAAAAAAAAAAAAAGUAUUUCCUUAAAAUACAGCAACUCUGUGAAGUCAUGCUUCCUGUGCCUCCAGGUACCUAACCAGGCUCUGAAAAGCUUCUACGUAUAGUUCUCAACUUCCUGAUUUAUUCACACACUGCAGAGACCCAGGCUUUGCCUUACAAAAUAAUAUGAUCACUUUUAGAAAGUUAUUACUGGUGGUUUCUAAGAUCUACUAUCUCUGAUUAGGCACUUCGUAUCUUUCUCUCUCUUUAGUGUUUAGACCCUAAUCAAUCUCAGUUCUUUCCCAGAAUGUCCUCUUGAAUUCCUACAUAGAUUUGCUGCACAGUGCUUAUGGUCUCAGUUGCUGACUACAGCAUUGACUGUAAUUUUGGAGUGUUGGGGUUUUGUUAGUCAGCUGUUUGCUGAAAAUUCAUUUUCUGUGACCUUAUUUUUUUUCUUCUUGUUGUUCUGGAUAGAUUUCAGGAGAAGGAAUGAAAAGUUUCAGAACUUAACAGACUCCCAUGUUCUCAUAGAAUGAUGAUAUAAUUUAUUUUUCUCCCAUGUUCUCAAAAGAAAUGAAAAAAUUCUCUGGAAGUACUAUGAUUAUUGGCUUUAGAUAAUGAACGAGAAUGUUCUAGUUAUCACCAGCCUAAUUCAAGCCAAUUAUAUAGAUUUUUCAUACCUACUAUAACAUUAAGGCUAUGUCUAGAAGAUAAUGUCACAAAGUAAUUUAAUGGAAAAUCAUUUAAGGCCUACAGUUCAGAUAAAUUAAGUUUUAAGCAAAAGAGGUUCUGAAAGAAGUAGA